rnacentral:rRNA from 1 species
AGGACGAACGCUGGCGGCGUGCUUAACACAUGCAAGUCAAGGGGGCUCAGCAAUGGGCAACCGGCGAACGGGUGCGUAACACGUGAGCAACCUGCCGAUUUGAGGGGGAUAGCCGGCCCAACGGCCGGGUAAAUACCGCAUACGUUCUAUUGGCCACCUGGCCGACAGAAGAAACCUCCGGGGCAGAUCGAGGGGCUCGCGGCCUAUCAGCUAGUUGGUGUGGGUAACGGCCCACCAAGGCGACGACGGGUAGCUGGU